CCAAGGAAGUACAGAAAAUAGUAAGCACUGCUAAUCCUUACCCACCAUGGUUAAAAUCCGUGGCUUCCUUA
rnacentral:tRNA from 1 species